GAGUACUGCUUUCAAAGAUACUUCCUAAACACAUGGUGGGGAGUGUGCACAGGUGUUUUAAAAAUGCAUGUAAAUGUAAUGCUGGUAGAGGAGGAAGAGGAGAAGGAGAAGGAAGCUGAACUGAGUCCAUUCUGAAGGCUCAAAGAUGCUUACAGUACAAUGAAAAAGAUAAUAACAGAAACAAGAGAAGAAGGGAAAACAUUUGAGUAAAGAUUGGGUCUCUCUCUCUCCCCACCAUAUGUUCUAUCCAAUCCUCAUUAGUGACCCGAAUAGAAGGAGAGGGACAAGUGUCCUUCAGUUCACAUCACUGGGCAUGCCUAAGCUUUAAAUACCUGCCUGAGUUGGAGGAGAAACUGACUCAGCCAUAUCUUAUUCAGCUACUGCUCUUCUCUGCCAGGUCAUUCGUGGGUGAACAGGGUCACAGUGAUCACCAUGAUGACCUGAUGUGUACUGCAAUGCCAUGGAUGGUCAUGGAAGAGGUGAUACCCAUGAAGGAUGGCUAUGGAGGAGGUGACAUCCUUUGCAGCCCUCUUCAGCUCCACCAAACUUGCAUAGAUGGAAUUCCGCAUCCCUGUCUCCCUGCCUUUCAUGAAGCAGACUGGCAGGCUUGAUGCUGUGUGAGAAGUGGGCAGCCAGGUACCAGCAGGUCUCAAGCAAGGACUGCAUCUCAAGGAGGGCAGCAUGCCGGUUGGCUUUCACAGUGCUCCCCAGCCCUUGAGCAGUAGGCUUUCGCAGUGCUCCCCAGCCCUUCAUCACAAGCUGAAGCACAUAUGCCAGACAGAUGAUGCCUUUGAGGUGCACACAUUUUCCCCAGAAAGCACUUUCCUGGAGGGACCGUUAGAAGAGAGUCAGCCAGAGAUCUCCUGUGAGCUUGGUAUCUCUAGCAUGAUUUGGCAGCUAAAAGUUUGUGACAGUUUGUAGUUUGCAGACUGGUGCACCAAGAACCAUGUACUGAAUCACAUUUUCCUGGUUUGUGCCCAUCCCUAUUUAGGAAUGCUGUCAGAAUAAACACAAAUAUUUAAAAACCUGA